rnacentral:rRNA from 1 species
UACCAGCACCCCGAGUGGUCGGGACGAUUAUUGGGCGUAAAGAGCUCGUAGGCGGUCUGUCGCGUCGAUCGUGAAAACUUGGGGCUUAACCCUGAGCUUGCGGUCGAUACGGGCAUGACUGGAGUUCGGCAGGGGAGACUGGAAUUCCUGGUGUAGCGGUGAAAUGCGCAGAUAUCAGGAGGAACACCGGUGGCGAAGGCGGGUCUCUGGGCCGAUACUGACGCUGAGGAGCGAAAGCGUGGGGAGCGAACAGG